rnacentral:rRNA from 1 species
GUCGAACGGAGUUAUCAUUUCAGAAGCAAUUAGCUUGCUAAGAGUGGAAGAGAGGAUAACUUAGUGGCGGACGGGUGAGUAACGCGUGGGGAACCUGCCCUGCACCGGGGGAUAACACCUGGAAACAGGUGCUAAUACCGCAUAAGCGCACGAGGCCGCAUGGCCAGGUGUGAAAAACUAAGGUGGUGCAGGAUGGACCCGCGUCUGAUUAGCUUGUUGGUAGGGUAACGGCCUACCAAGGCGACGAUCAGUAGCCGGCCUGAGAGGGUGAACGGCCACAUUGGGACUGAGACACGGCCCAAACUCCUACGGGAGGCAGCAGUGGGGAAUAUUGGACAAUGGGGGAGACCCUGAUCCAGCGACGCCGCGUGAGUGAAGAAGUAUUUCGGUAUGUAAAGCUCUAUCAGCAGGGAAGAAAAUGACGGUACCUGACUAAGAAGCCCCGGCUAACUACGUGCCAGCAGCCGCGGUAAUACGUAGGGGGCAAGCGUUAUCCGGAUUUACUGGGUGUAAAGGGAGCGUAGACGGCAUAGCAAGUCUGAUGUGAAAGAUCGGGGCUCAACCCCGGGCCUGCAUUGGAAACUGUUAAGCUGGAGUACAGGAGAGGUAAGCGGAAUUCCUAGUGUAGCGGUGAAAUGCGUAGAUAUUAGGAGGAACACCAGUGGCGAAGGCGGCUUACUGGACUGUAACUGACGUUGAGGCUCGAAAGCGUGGGGAGCAAACAGGAUUAGAUACCCUGGUAGUCCACGCCGUAAACGAUGAUUACUAGGUGUCGGUGGGCAUGGGCCCAUCGGUGCCGCAGCCAACGCAGUAAGUAAUCCACCUGGGGAGUACG